rnacentral:rRNA from 2 species
UAAGUCAGCCACGAAUAGGCUAUCCCAACUAACGGCGGGAAAGACUCCACGGAGGGUGUAAGACCCGUGUGGGCGCGUGUUAAAGCUGUGCGGGCUCGGCCUCUAUUCCCUGAGAGUCGCGUUGCUUGAGCAUGCAGCGCUAAGCAGGUCGUAAACUCGAUCUAAGGCUAAAUAUCUCCACAGAACCGAUAGCGAACAAGUACCGUGAGGGAAAGUUGAAAAGCACUCUGGAGAGAGAGUCAAAAGACCGUGAAACCGCUCAGAGUAUAAGCCCAUGGCAGCUUGGAAGGCAUAUCGAAAGCGGGGCAUCGGUCUGCCUUCGCGGGUGGUCGGUGUUACCUUGCUUCUGUUGUGGCUCGUCAUGGUAGGGGGGUCAGGUCCAAAUCCCGCCGUCGUGUGGGGGGUUCUUGGGUGUGUUGUGGUUUUUCGGUUGGCUUCGGCUGGCCGGAGGGCCCUUCGUGCUCGGUUCCUCUUUUGACACGGACGUUCAGACUCAGAGGCAAGACGCGAUAAACAGCCCACCACGGCACGUUGUGAGGUCACCCACAGGCUCGACUUUCGAUCGUGAACCUUGACGCCGAGCAAGCACAAUGCGUGUCGCAAAUGUUCCUAACCAGGCAACGCUGCCAGGAUCGUGGAACGACACGCGCUCAACAAUCAUGUUCGGCCGGAGACAGAUUUCUGGUAUGAUCGUCUUGCGACGAGCCGGCUUCUGGAAACAAACGAUGCGGGGGUGGCGGGCAUGUGCAGCGGUAGAUCACUUUGACUUUCUUGA